CCAAUAGCGUAUAUUAAAGUUGUUGCAGUUAAAAAGCUCGUAGUUGAAUUUCGGGAUCAGUAUGUUGGUCGUGCUUCGGUACGUACUGUCAUUACUGGUUUCUACCUUCUGAAGAACCUUGAUGUCAUUAAUUUGGUGUCUUGGGGAAUCAGGACUGUUACUUUGAAAAAAUCAGAGUGUUUAAAGCAAGCAUACGCUUGAAUACAUUAGCAUGGAAUAAUGAAAUAGGACGUUUGAUUCUAUUUUGUUGGUUUCUAGGAUCGACGUAAUGAUUAAUAGGGAUAGUUGGGGGCAUUAGUAUUCAAUUGUCAGAGGUGAAAUUCUUGGAUUUAUUGAAGACUAACUACUGCGAAAGCAUUCGCCAAGGAUGUUUUCAUUAAUCAAGAACGAAAGUUAGGGGAUCGAAGACGAUCAGAUACCGUCGUAGUCUUAACCAUAAACUAUGCCGACUAGGGAUCGGAUGAUGUUAAUUUUUUAAUGACUCAUUCGGCGCCUUACG
rnacentral:rRNA from 1 species